UGUUUAACAUUGGAUGUGUAUUAUUAUAUUAUCUCUUCCUUCCUCCUUCCAUUAUUCUAUUACUUUCUUCCCUCUAUUCCUUCUUCUUCUUUCCAGCUCUUCACUAAUAAUACAUGUAUAUAAUUGCAAUUGGUGUAUUGGCAAUUAUGAAGGACAGCUUGUGCGUGAAUGUAGGUGUGCUAGCUUAUUGAGUCAGGAGAAAUAUAUAUUAGUUACUAACAUGAUUGUGGGAAACACAAUGAUCACAAGGAAUAACAUCAUGAUGAUAGAAUAUAACUUUUCUUCCUUAUAUUCUUUCUUCUUCUUUCUCUCUUCUUGGAGUUCUUCGUUUCUCCUUACCGAACACAGUGAGAUAAGCUGAGAGUGAGAGAGAUUGAGUGACUGAGAGAAGGAGAAUUGCAGAGGGAGAAACCGGUUCUGCCGUAGCCGUGCGUGACCCAGCCGACCCGGCGUCGACCCAGGGGCAACUCCGACGGGUUCUGGCCGUGACCGGCGAACCCAGCAACCCGGAUUGCCAAGCAUCUCAUUCCUUCCGAACAACCGAAGCGUGACCAAACCCAGAACCGGAUUCUAGCCAAUUCCCCAAAUGCGAGACGCCAGUGGACACCAAGAAGACCUGAUUUGGGCCAUGUUUCCAGUAGGCCAGAAGAACCUACAGAUUUAUCCAACCCAAUCUAAUCUGACCUGCAAGCCCAACCCAACAGCAAUCCACAAACCGAUUUCAGCCCAGACCCGCAAGCCCAUCAACCCAGUUUCAGCAGCCCAAAACCCAUAAGCCCCACAAACUAGUUCUAAACCAGCAACCCACAAGCCCAAAGCCCAGACCGAAGCCAUUAAACCCAGCAGUAACCCAGACCCACUGAGCUUGACCCAAACCCGGAACCCCGACCCGCCGGCGACCCGCCUCCGGCGACUUUUCCGGCAUAGCCUCCGGUGACUUUUCCGGCAGUGUCUCCGACCACUUUUCCGGCGACUUUCCGAUGACUUUUUCGGCUAUUUUUCUCGGCGACCAAACUCACCGUUUCGCUGGAUUUUCGAGUGAAAAUCCUUAAUAUGAUGAAUUGAGACAGCACAAAAAGGGCUGUAAGUAUUUUUAUACUUACUGAGGGUAGCACUGGAUUUCAGUAAUGUUGUGUUUAUGUUUUAUUUUAAUUGGAUGCGUGUGACUGAUUAUUGCAUACUGUUAAUAAUCAACCUAUUAAUAUUGGGCGCGACGUCUCCCAAAGGUUCAUGAUAGAGUUGAACCGGAAACAAUAAUAAUCAUAUUGAUUGGAACGGCUUUCAAAGUACUAGAGGAGGGAGGUCUCCGAUAGUGCGAAAACAAGUUAAUUAAAAUGUAAUGUAGAGGGGACGGCCUCGAGAAACACGAUUAAACGGGGGGACGUGCCCUUACAAGAGAGGAGUGUAAUCACUAUAUAAACUGUUAAACUUUGCAUGAAAAACUAUCACCACAUCAUUAUGUCAUA